UACAAUGUACUCAUAUUAAAAAAAAAAAA
rnacentral:piRNA from 1 species